GAUGAACGCUGGCGGUAUGCUUAACACAUGCAAGUCGAACGGACUCUUCGGAGUUAGUGGCGGACGGGUGAGUAACGCGUGAGAAUCUGGCUUUGGGUUCGGGACAACCACUGGAAACGGUGGCUAAUACCGGAUGUGCCGAGAGGUAAAAGAGAAAUUGCCUGAAGAUGAGCUCGCGUCUGAUUAGCUAGUUGGUGAGGUAAAGGCUCACCAAGGCAGCGAUCAGUAGCUGGUCUGAGAGGAUGACCAGCCACACUGGGACUGAGACACCGCCCAGACUCCUACGGGAGGAAGCAGUGGGGAAUUUUCCGCAAUGGGCGAAAGCCUGACGGAGCAAUACCGCGUGAGGGAAGAAGGCUCUUGGGUUGUAAACCUCUUUUCUUAGGGAAGAACAAAAUGACGGUACCUAAGGAAUCAGCAUCGGCUAACUCCGUG
rnacentral:rRNA from 1 species